AUUGAACGCUGGCGGCAUGCCUUACACAUGCAAGUCGAACGGUAACGCGGGGCAACCUGGCGACGAGUGGCGAACGGGUGAGGAACGCAUCGGAACGUGCCCAGUAGUGGGGGAUAGCCCGGCGAAAGCCGGAUUAAUACCGCAUACGACCUACGGGUGAAAGCGGGGGAUCGCAAGACCUCGCGCUAUUGGAGCGGCCGAUGUCAGAUCAGGUAGGUGGUGGGGUAAAGGCCUACCAAGCCGACGAUCUGUAGCUGGUCUGAGAGGACGACCAGCCACACUGGGACUGAGCCACGGCCCAGACUCCUACGGGAGGCAGCAGUGGGGAAUUUUGGACAAUGGGCGCAAGCCUGAUCCAGCCAUGCCGCGUGCGGGAUGAAGGCCUUCGGGUUGUAAACCGCUUUUGUCAGGGAAGAAACGCUCUGGGCUAAUACCCCGGGGUAAUGACGGUACCUGAAGAAUAAGCACCGGCUAACUACGUGCCAGCCGCCGCAGUAAGAC
rnacentral:rRNA from 1 species